ensembl:lncRNA
AUGGAUACAGACUCUGUGACUUGUCCUCAGAAAUCUGAAUCCGAGGAUGAAUGCAGUAGUGAAGAAGGAAAAUUCCACUUCACCAAUGAUAGGGAAAAGAAGGACAAAGAAGAUAUUAGUGGGUUAGAAAAAACAAAAACACCUGACAGCAGUUUCCCUCCUCAACCUCACGAUCAUCCCAUCUCCUCACCAGCAGAUGGAGCCAUUGAGGUAACAAUGGAAGACUUGAGCAGUACAGAUGAAAAUGACCCGAAUGGUGAUCAGGAGUGGCCACAAGUGCCAGGACUGAAAGAAGAUAUUCAACCAGAGAGGAAUGAGUGUCAGGCCAUUGAGAUUCAGGAUGAGGUGAAGGAAAACACUGAAACCAGUGAAGAUGUUCAGACAUCUGUGCAUGACACUGAGGGUGAGGAACCUGUUACCAUGAAACCGGUAGACAAAGGCUCAGUUGUGUUCCUAUCAGAAAACAGCGAUGAGCAAAAUAUUGACCGCAAACCUGUGGACUUUGCCACCACCAGGGAUCAGUGGGUGAGACGGGACAGUCAUUGUGAUGAACCAUCAAACCUGACGUAUUCCAAGGUGUAUUCCAAGAGCUUUUCAAAAUGUCUUCUCUCUGAGACCGAACCUUCAUUAAGCACCCAAAGUGAAUCCACAACUGAACCUGUGGUUAAUGCCAAGAACAUCCAGCAGAGGGAGCUUGAGGUAAACAACCCAAGCAGUCUGAAGGAGAAUGAGGAGGUACAACAGGUGUGUGGUGCUGAUCCGCCCCUAGAAACAGUUGCAGGCAAGCCAACCAAUCCAGAGCAAGGAAACUCCGCCUAUAUCUCUACCGAAGUAAAAGAGCCAUUGAUAAUGCCACAGGGGAGGAGGAACAGUAAAAGGGAGGAGAGAGAGGGUGGUGAAACAGGUGAAGAGCGAAAGCAAACAGUGCGUUUCACAGAAACAGGUGGGACCGAAGGAAAGCAGCUGGGGGAGGUUAAAGAUCAAAAACAAGAACGGGAAAACAAGUCAAACACAUUGCCUCAUUUGGGAUAA